UGUAUUAUGUAUAACUAUAUAGUCUUUUAGUCUAUUAUAUUCUUUAAUACUAAUAGUCUAUUAUUUAUAUACUAAUACUUAUAGUCAUUAUAUUCUUUAAUGUAUAACAAUAUAGUUGCUAGAAGUGUGCUCAAAGGUAUGUAGCCCCAUUUUGAAUGGGGGUUUGGGCAUUAGAAAUAUGAGAAUCUUCAAUCGGGCAUUAUUAGGUAAAUGGCUGUGGAGAUACCAUAAGGAACCUGAUGCCUUGUGGAAGAUCGUAAUAGAGAGCAAAUAUGGGGACCUAUGGGGGGGUUGGUGUGCAAAAGAAGUGAGAGGAGAUCAUGGAGUGGGUUUGUGGAUACAUAUAAGAAAAGGGUGGGAGGUCUUCAAUCGUUAUACCUGAAUCCGUUUAGGAGGAGGAACCCGUAUUAAGUUUUGGUAUGACACUUGGUGUGAUCAGGGGGCUCUAAAGGAAUCUUUUCCUUCUUUAUUCAGAAUUGCAAAAGAUAGUGAUGCCUCAGUAGCUGAUGUAGUGGAAAGAUCAGGGGAGCAAAUUCAAUGGAACAUCCACUUUAGUAGGACGGCACAAGAUUGGGAGAUGAGCAAUAUUGACGCCUUUUACAGCCUUUUGUAUUGUAUUAAACCGGGUAAUUCACAGGAUAGUUUAUAGUGGAUACCUACAGUUAAAGGUGCUUUUUCGGUGUGCUCUUUCUAUAAGUCUCUUACCCAAGAGACACCUAUUCAGUUUCCAUGGCGAAAGAUAUGGAGACAUAAGGCGCCACCCAAAGCAGCUUUCUUUGUGUGGACUUCAGCAUUGGGUAAGAUUCUUACAACUGAUAACUUGAGGAAGCGCAGGGUGAUUAUCGCAGAUUGGUGCUGCAUGUGCAAGAAGGGAGGUGAAUCGGUGAACCACCUCUUAAUACUCUGUGAGGUAGCGAUAAGGUUAUGGAAUGAGGUUCUUGGCAGAUUGGAAUUGGCUUGGGUUAUGCCGGAGACGGUGGUUGGGGUUUGGCCAGUUGGAAAAAUAUGAGAGUAAAUCAACAGUAAAAAGCGGUGUGGAAGAUGAUUCCUAUAUGUAUUGUGUGGUGUUUAUGGCGAGAGCGCAAUGACAGGACGUUCGAGGAUAGAGAGAUCGAUGGAGGAUUUGAAAGUUUUUUUCUUUAGAACUCUUUGUGCUUGGACCAUAGCGGUUGACUUCAAUGGAUUGGGGUUACAUGAAUUCCUUAUAUCCAUUGAUCAAACCUAGAACUGGUGACUAAUCUUUGUAUCAGGCUUUUUGCCUUCAUUUUUGAUAAUAUAAUUAAUUUACUUAUCAAAAAAAAUAUAGUUGCUAUAUAGACUUGUAGUAUUAAUAAUUUAAUAUCAUUAUAUGUAGUAGUAACACUAAUACUAUAAUAGUAUUAGUUAUUGUUUUGUAUUUAAAUUGCUUUCUAUUUAAUAAUAUCGUUGUUGUUGGGUUUAAUCAUUUUAUUUUAUUGAUAUUGAGUUGUAGUUUUUUUAAUUGUCUUGUAUUUAUUUUAUUGUAUCAUUAUUUUAUUAGACCCUCUACUUUUGGACUGGGCUUGUUUUCUGAGAGUUGAGAUUGUGUGAGUAGAGUGGUACUCUUGUAACUCACUGUGUGUGAUUGUAAUCUCUGGAAUAAAAUCCAUUACAGCUCUAUCGACGUAUGCACCUUGACGAACUACGUUAAUUUUGUGUUGUGUGAUUUCUUGCUUUUAUUUGUUUGUCAUUGUUGGUUUCACAACAGAAACUUCAAUAUAUUGCUCUCUAUUUUAUUCACAUUCUAUUUUUUCUCAUCCAAAUUGGAGUUGUAUGUUGUAGUUUCUAUGACUUCUAAAUAAGUCUUUAUUAGAUAGCUAUUAUAGUGUCUUUUCUUCUGUCCUUUUGUCAAUAUAAAUCAUGGAUAUUGUUUAUAUGUGACUUCUAAAAACUGGUUUGGAACUGGGAGAAUAUAAAGGUACAAGUGAUUUGAUGUGUUAGAAGUGACAAGAAAUAAGAUACAAGUAUUUGGUGUUGGAUUGCUAACUAGAAAGUUGAAACCCAGUUAGGAUAUAGAAAGCCCAAUUUGUGAUGAAUAUUUAUGAAUAGUCUUUAUUUCUUGAAUCUAUUUUAUCUACCACCUAGUAUUUUGUUAGGGUUAGUCUAUACUUUCAAUUAUGGUGUCAAAGUGAAUAUACCUAAAUUGCUUUCUUGGAAUGCUAGAGGUUUGAAGGAUGUUAACAAGCAUCUCAUGAUUAAAAAUCUCAUUAAAUAAUUUUAGGAAAAUAUCAUUUGUUUACAAGAGACUAAGCUGGAUUUAUUUCUAGAAGUGUGCUCAAAAGUGGAUUACUGUCGACAUCUAGUGGGGCUUCUAGUGGAGUCUUGCUCAUGGGACAAAAGGGUGGUGGAGUCCAUGUGGUAAUAUACAAUGGCAUGUUUUUCAGGAAUGUUGAAGAUGGUUUUAUUGGUCCUCUAUGGUGUUUAUUGGUGUUAUUGUGAUCACAAAGAAGGCUUUUGUGGGAGGAAUUGGCUGGUUUGAGUAGUUUGUGGGAAGAAUUGUGGUGUAUUUAGAUGUCAUUUCAGUGUUAUCCGUUUCCCUACCGAAAGAUCAGCUGAAGCUCAUUCCUGUUGCGUAUGGAGGCUUCCUUUAACUUUAUUUGUGAUCAGGCCUUUUGGAUAUUCCCUCAGGCGGAGGGAUUUUUACGUGGUCUAACAACUGGGACUCACCUUCUUGGUCUAGAAUCGAUAGAUUUCGUCUCCUUGAAGUGUGAAGCACAUUUUUCAGAUCCAAGUCAAAAUAGGUUGCUCUUACUUUUCUCUAAUCAUUUUCUAAUUCUUUGUAUUGAUUGUGGUGGUAAUAGUACUUCAAGUUCGAGAAUCUGUGGUCAAAGGUUGUAGGCUUUGUUGAUAGGGUUAAUUAGUUUGGUCUUUCUACCAUUUUCACAGCCCUCCAAGCUUCAUUUUGGCCUGUAAACUUGUAGGUGGAUGCCUUUACUAGGUUCUUUAACCUGUUGUAUUCAACUAGUUGGAGACAAAGGUUAAAACAAGCUUCUUUGGGCCCCUUCCAAGAGAUAGAUGCUUAAUGUUCGUUCUUUCUACAUGGCCCUAUUCCUCAUGAUAACAACCCCUGAGAGCUGCCUUUUUUGCUUGGACAGCUUCUUUUGGAAAUAUUCUCACCAUGGAUAAUUGGCGGGGCAGGGAGAUAUUCUUACCAGAUAUGAUCGAGACACACACAACACUGCUGGACAUGGGAUGCUGUCUUUUAUGGAUGCUUUCACUUGAUAUAAGCGGAUCAAGAUGGCCGAGGAAGACAGAGAGAAAACAAUGUUUAUCACCAUAUCAGAUAGGAGGCACGUUCUGUUACAAGGUGAUGUGUUAUUCGGGAGAGAGAAAAAAUUAUUGAAAUUCGAAAGGUAGAAAACAACCUCUGUGGCAGGAUUUACCAGGUAUAAUUCAACGGGAACCUAUCCCAUCCUGUGGUCCUGAACCAACAUUCAAUCCUGAAAAGAGAGCUCAGUAGCGUUAAUCUGGAUCUGUCUAAAUUCAAAGCCUGUCAAAAGUGGCUCCUCACUUGAAAUCACACAAAGAAUCUGAGCCCCGAAUAAAAACCCCCUUCCCUUUGGACUCCAUAUAUCUUUUUAACUUUAUAUAUGUAGCUUGCUUUGCUUGUCCAACAACGACAAAGGAAAAGAUGAGAUAUGCCUUGCCCAAGUCAGCACUGGCAAAGUUCUCUUGAUUCCUUGUGCCGUCCAUCACUGCAAAACAGAUUGAGCUGCAGGCAUUCUAAAGAAAAAAAGACAUUGUUGCGAUUGAUUAGUGUUGCACAUGUAAGAGGAUUGGGGAGUUUGUUGAUCAUCUUUUACUCCAUUCCAAGAUUUUUAGUGCUUUGUGUAGUGAGUUUUUUGAUAGAGUUGGUUUGGCUUGGGCCAUGCCCAAAAGAAUAGCAGACCUUUUUGACUCUUGGAGCAGUUUAGCUGGCAGCACAUAAGUUGCAACAGUGUAAAAGAUGGUUCCUACUUACCUCAUAUGGUGUAUUUGGAGAGAAAAUAAUGAUUUCUUUAUUUGUUUCUCCUUUUAGAUAGUUGUUUCUCUUGUAUAUCCAAUAUACUUGGAUUGGGCCUUUUGUGUUGUUUAAUGAGGUUUUAUUACUCAUCAAAAGUUAACAUUGAUGGUGUAGAUAACUGUUUACUGUGAAGGUUUAAACAUAUUACCAGUUUUGAGUCAUUACUAAAAGUAGCGGAUGUGGUACUUGUAAUUAAAUAGUAUAGAUAGUUUGCCGGCAACAUUGAUAGAUCUCUUGAAGGCUCUCUGUGUACACAGAAAGUAUACAAAAGAACACCUAAAUAAAUUCUAGGAACCAUAAAUUAAAGUCAGAAAAUCAUGAACACUGGUUCCAUUAAGUACAAUGGUUGAAAACCAAAGCAAUAACGUAUGUAUGAACACCUAUCUUCAAAGGACUGAUCAUUCAUUUCCAUGCAGAUACACCACAUAAUGUACAAAAGAAUCAUCCUCCAAACUGUUGCCACUUGGGGGCAGCCUUGAAUAUUCUUUCAGUAGGCUAAUAAAUUCACCACUCUCAAAGGCAUAACCCAAGCCACCCCAAUUCUUCUAAAGACCUCAUCCCACAACACUCUUGUCACUUCACAAUGCAAUAAUUAAUGAUUAAUUGAUUCCCCAUCCUUCUUGCACAAAUAGCACCAAUCCAUAACAAUGUGACACCACUUCCUCUGUGGUCAAGAUAUUCUCAAGAGAGGCGGUCUGUACAAAGAAAGCUACUUUACAGGGCACAUGAGACCUCCAAAUGCUCUUGCACAAGGAAGGAGCAUUACCAUGUGAUGCCAACAUCUUGUAAUAAGAUCUGAUUGUAAACCUUUUGCUCCCUUUGGGCCUCCAUUGCAUCUAGGGGUGAGCACUGACUUAGUCAGAAUUGGAUUCCCUUAAAUCCGAAUCCGACCUUGGCUUGUCGGAGUAGAGUUGGAUUUGGGCUUAUAGCUUUGAGUUUCUUUUUUUUAGCUUCGUAUUUAGUCCAUUUAAAAAAUAAUAUUUUUGCGG